UUAUGGAAUGGACAACACUUACAGGCGCGUAAAAAUGUUCUCUCGUUUGUCGACCAGACGGUGUUGACUUCGUCCAACAAUCCGUCGACGCUUUCCUUGUGCAAGACAUCGUAGCUGAGAACUGAUUCGUAGGCGGCCACAAUCCAGUCGUUCCCGUCGGGCCAGUUGUGAGCGGGCAGAGGUAGGAGCAGGUGAAAGCCACAGAAGGGAGGGAGGAAGGGACACAGCCGGCCGGCGAGAAAGCGAACACGAAGCCAAGAUGACCGUCUGACACUAAAUGGAUGCAAUCGCACUGAGAUGACUCGGCAAAGACCCACCCUAUUGCCGGCCGCCUCCCCAAACAUAACGUGCACCCCUACGGAGACACUCUCAUCAGCAAUGAAGGCAGGCUCGGUGCAGUCUCGUGAUGCUGGGGAUGUGAGCCUUAUGGAGCCUGAUGUCCACGUUGAGAACCCAGCUGACGUCAGUUUUUACCACAAGGUUUCACCACACAAUGUCAAGUUCUACACAUAUGGCCAUAAGAUGCAGACAAGACAGAAAGUUGUGAGCAACUAUUCAACAGUGACUAAGGGAUCACCAACAGCAGCCAAACCCAGAGCUGCGCUCAAACAAGUUUUUUUCAACCAGGGAGUGUCUGACAGGAACCUAACAGCAGAGGAGAAGAGUCAGCUGGACGUGCUGAAGCAGGAGCUGGAGGCCUUCGCAGUGCCCGUCAGCCUCAAGUGGCGAUGGAGAGAGGAGCGCUGUGGAAGCACGCUGGAGAGGAACUGGACAGACAUUGUGAAAUCUCACUCUCUCAUGUCUCGGAUGCAGAGGCACCAGCAGGAAGCCAUGUGGGAGUUUGUGCACACCGAACUCUACUACAUCAACAGACUUAUUAUCAUUAAAGACUUGGUUAUCGCAGCUCUGGUCAACCUGCACCUUCGUGGCUUCCUCCAGGAGGUGACCCCCGAGCUGCUUUUCUCCAACCUUUCUACCAUCCUCAGCGCACACCAGCUGUUCUGGCAGGAAGUGAUUUACCCCAUGUUACAGGAAGUGCGCUCGACAGGCAAGCCCUUUAACCCAAUGCGGUUGGAGACGGGCUGCCUCCAGUUCCGUGAACGCUUCUCACCGUACUGCCAUUACUGUGCAGAAGAGGAAAACAGCUUUGAGUUUGCACGCCAACAAAUGGAGAGCAACCCACAUUUCUUCACAUAUGUGCAGUGGGUGGAGACCCACCCGCAGUGCACACGGAUGCGCAUUGGGGACAUGCAGGCCAAACCCCACCAGAGGAUCACCAAGUACUCCCUCCUUCUCAAGGCAGUGCUCAAGACCACCCAGGACCCACGUGUGCAGCGCAGCCUGAGAAACAUGGUAUCCAGCAUCAACAAUUUUCUGGAGAGCAUCAAUGAAUAUCUGAGGCUGAAGGACGAGGAGGUGGCGCUGUCCAUUUCUGCUCAGAGACUGGAGGGCUACGAGCUGGAGGGAAUAAAUGAGGAAAUUGACAAGCACGUACGAGAGAUCUGCCAGUUCGACCUGACGUGCCCCAUCAGAGGGGUCGGUCGUGGGGUCGUACGUAAGCUGCUCUUGGAGGAGAACCUAAAGAUCCGCGGCAGAAAAGACAGCAAACUGGAGGUGGUGGCGCUUCUAUUCUCCGAUGUGCUUCUCAUGACCAAAGUGCAGAAGAAAGUAGAGCGACUGAAAGUGGUUCGGCCUCCUCUGGCCCUCGACAGAACGUACUGCAUUGCGCUGAAGGAUAGCUGUUCGUUUCUUCUGGUGGAGGUGGGGGAGCUUUGGUGUCCUGUCAAUGUCUACAUAUUUACAGCCAGCACCUCUGAAAGCUGCUCCACUUGGGUGUCGGCCAUUCACCAGGCAAAGGUAACACUGAGGAACUUGCGGGAGGCUGAGAGUAGACAGUCUGAGGCAAAAGAAAGAUCUGCACUUGUUGACGGAGCACGUGACUCAAAGAUAAAAGAACAAGCUCUUAUCUCUGAAAAAGAGGCUUUUGUGGAGGACCCCGCCCUUGGACGCAUCGUUACUCAGUUGGUAAAUGGUGUUCAUGCAUUUAAAGAAAAUCCCAACAAUCAUGUUGAAGACAAUGGCUGGAGCGAAGGAGGAGAAGAAAGUGGGAGUCAGUUCUCAACAAAUGCUUGGAACCACAUGGAUCUAUCUGUUGCUAAUAUGAACCAAGAUCACAUGUCUGUAGAUGUCAUGGAUCCAUUGCGGUGCAUCACCCCCAGAUUGAAUACUGUGGUUCCAGGUGGCUAUCCGGCUGUUGACUACCCGACAGAUGAACCGAACACCUCACGGAUUGGUCAAACUGGUCAAACACAACCAUCCAAGAAGGAGGCAGAGUUAGCAGGAGAUGCCAAGAUACUGACUUCACAACCUAUUAAUCAUUCCAAGGUGAAAAAACACAGUCCUGCACAGUUGGGAGGCUCAGCGUCACAUCCUGAGACCAAAGGGUUCCCAAGAGCUCUCAAGUCUCCCAUGUCACGAAAGAGGAGGACGGACACUGGCCACCAAGGCCCCUCAGCUCAGACGGUGCAUGGUUCAGGGUGGUCGGAAUCCAACAACUCUUCCUCCAACUCUGACUCUGACUGCAGCGUAAAUACGAAGAGUUCAAAAUCUCACAUUGUGCUGAAGCUGGGUGCUCUGAAGCCCACCCGGGGAACGUUUUGGAAUAACGACUUCAGAGUGUCGCCGGAGACUGAAAUCUUUUCUGAACCUGAACUGAUGGAUCUUAACUUUAACAAUAAAAAGCUCAGACUGAAAGCCCAGAGGAGUGCUUCCAUUCAUAACGUGGCUACUCAACAGGAGCAAAGGUUUCUCUAUCUGGACCGCUCUACUGACAUGUCUGCUUCUCCCGCAUCUCUGGAGAAUCUUCUGCAGAGAGCCAAAGUUAGAGCAAGAGACUGGGAAACUGCAAAGAGCAACAAAAAAGUGCAACUGGCCAAUUUAAAGCCGAAGCACUGUCCUCCUCCGUCUCCAUUGACGUCAAGCUCGCCAUCGCACUCCCAGAGUGACGGAGACCGAGACGCGGAGUGGGAGGACGAGGUGCAGCUGCAGAGGCACCGAGCCCUCAGGGUGAGUCAAGGAUGGAGGGAGCAGCUGGUGGAUGGCGAUGGCAACAACAAGCUGGACAGUCCUCUCUUUACAAAUGGCGAGAAUGUGGAUUGGCCCGGCUGGUGCUUCGACGACGAGGAGGUGAUGGACUAUUUGCAUCCAGGAGCUGAAGGACUCCUCGAGUACAUCAAUCAGUCUUUGACUUUCUGUGAAAUUUCCGACCAGGAAGACGACCUGUGCAGUCGAGUCAUUUCCUGCCGACACACUGGUACACAGAGGAAAAGCGGACGUGGGUGAGGACAGGGGAAGGAUGCUUGAAGGCGGACGCUAAAGCCCCGCCGCCAGGAGGAUUACCGGGGUGUGCAUUGUACAAAACAACAUCGGUUUGGCUAAGGACCCCCGAAAAUGGCACCUACGAAGAGACACGCUUACAAAGCACAGUUUAAACUGCAAGCUAACAGUGACGCGGAGCAACACGGGAAUCGUGCAGCCGCGAGACAAUUCAAGAUCAACGAAUCCAUGGUUCGCAAGUGGAGGAAGGAGGAAAACGGCGGCAUCAUUGCUAAAUAGCCCCCCGGCAACGAGACUGGCUCCAACAGUGACGAGAGGGAACCCGGCAAGUUUGAUGGAGAACUUGCCCAGCUGUUCAUUUCGGAUACAGAACAUGAGGACUUUGGUGGAUGUGUGGAUGAGGAUUGAUUAAAAAAAAAAAUAACGCGUCCUUCUGUGCCGUAAAACUGACACACCCAUUCGCCCCCGUCCUCGUGGGACACCUCGCUUACGCGGAGAGUCUUUCCCUCCUGGAUGGAUUUCACCAAGCGGGUGCCGCUGAGGUCGUAGGUAACGCGGACCCACUGGUAGCGGGUGACCUCACUCGUGUCCGUCAGCUGACAGGUCAGUGUGACCGUUUCCUUCCGUGUGAUGCUGCGAUCAACUGUGGACACACAAGUUGAUUAGAUUGGAUUUAUCCUGAAAGACAACAACAAAGAGGAUCACGCAACUCACUUUUAGCCACAAUCAGCUGCACUUUCCGAGACAGGCUUUGUCCUUCAACAACCCCGGCACACACGUACGUUCCGUCAUCCCCGAGACCAAUUUCGUUUAAACCGGCCGAAUGGUCCCAAGUAGGCCGAUAAGUGGGGGAGAAAGAGCAGAAGGAGGGAGGAAGGGGAUCAGAAGCUGGUUUGGAGAGAGAGUCGGGCUUGAGUUUCUGCCAGGUGGCCUCAGACGGGUUUAAACCGGCGGAGAACACGCAGGGGAGCGUGGCUGCAGAUCCCGCCGCCGCAUAGACCUUUGUGUCAUCUCUGGAUGGAUGGAUGAUUCCUACAAUAGGAGGGGAACUUUAAACAAAUGGUCAUCUUUUAUGGAGUAUAGUAAUCGCUCACGUUUCGCUGUUCGAGAAUUCACCUUUUUGUGUAUUUUUAUUUUUACAAAUCAUCUGUAAGCUGUUUAUUUUUUUAUGGUAACGUAAGAUGAGUUUGAAAUGAUCCCAGUUUGUAAUAUAAUACAGUCAGUAAUAUCAUUUGUUUUUCACAGAGGAUAAAAAUGUAUGCCUGUAUUGUUAUAUUGGCUGCCUAUAUGUGUUGCUGCACCGUUUGUGCGCAAAUAUCCAUUGCUUACAGUGUUAUGAUUACCGCAACAUUGAUGCUAGUUUAAUUAGCCCAUCCGUGGUGUUUUGCAUUGUGUGUUAGCAUUACGUAGCGGACUUUUGUCAGGCAAAAUAAGGUGGUUUGUUGAAAUACACAAGAUGCAAUUCUCUUUGUUUGUAUGUUCAGUUUUCCAGUAAACCUCAACUGAGUGGGAAUAAACAACU